GUUUCACAUUAACAUGUUCUACAGUCAUACAUUGCCUAACAAUGGGAUCUGACACGAUGGCAUCUGAUGACUUUGAUAUAGUGAUUGAGGCCAUGCUGGAAGCUCCCUAUAAAAAAGAGGAGGUAAUAUUCCCCACCUCACUCCUGGAAUUGGGUUAAUAAGAAAGAGCAGUUGUGGAUCAUCGGUUGAAACAUUUUGUGAAUCUUCUUUCCCUGCUUGUUUAUUAUGCUCAGUGACUAUUCUUAAAAGGCAUAGUCUUUCGUAAUCUUUGCUGGGGACCUGUACUCAAGGACCAUUCUUUUAGUGAGGACCCUGAAAGCCAGGGGUGGGCACAUAAUGUGGUGGUGGUAUCAUGUGCUUUGCUGGUAACUCUCAGUGACAGUAGAAAGUCAGUGAACCUCAGACCAGCGCCAGUUUCUCACUCUCCUGGGACAUAAUGUCAGUGAAACAGAUGUUAGGUAGCUGACAUUUGACAUCAAAGUCUGUCAUUCUGAUCUCUUCCUUUUUGGUAGUUUCCUUGCUUCCUCUAUUAUUCCCCUUGUUAGGAGAUCCAGGUGCUCCAAAACUGGCUAGAUAAUCGAGAGCUUUUGAUUUCUUCCUUGUCCACCUUUGUUCUUUUUGCCCAAUGGAAUCUGUGUGUCUGCCACCUUGUACCUUGUGAUAUUUUCCUGGCGAACUCCUCAGGAUGAGCAGCAAAGGAAAGAGGUUAAAAAGGACAGUCCUAGCAAUACCACCAGCAACACCGGCAACAGUGGCAGUGGUACCAGUGUGAGCACCACCACUGGGGAGACAAGCAAGUGAGUGUGGGGUGAAGAAACGGGUUGGCAACUUGGGGAAGGGAAACAACGGCAUCCAUUGGAGAAACGGCCAGAAUAGGGAGGCGAUGGCUCUUAAGACUGCUGACAUUUAGUAAUGGCUCCACUGGGUCAUGGGAACAUUGGUGAGUUGGUUUAAUGAUCUUCUAGUCUUCGCUUUCCAGUGUAGAUUUGUGGAUCAGUCCUAGCAUCGAUAUAUUUCAUUUGAAUAAAAUAGCAAGAGGACCCCUGAUUUGGAAACA
rnacentral:lncRNA from 1 species